UAAAGUAGAUCAUAGGUUUUUAUUGAAUACCUGUUUAAUGCCAGACAGCUCACAAAUUUUUCAUAUAGCAUACGUUUGAGUGUCAUUAUCGUCAUUAUCUGAGGUGACGAAACUCUGCAAAAGCUAAGUAUAUUCUCCUGCCAUGCCAAAAUGUGUAGUUAGAGAGUAAUGAACCCUUAAUUUUCUAUCCAGGAGUCCAGGUGCCAAACCUGGGCUGCUUGGCUAAACCACAUGCUGCCAAACAUGGAGAAACUGUAAAGAGGGAAGGGCAAUGUGUCUGCGAGGCAGCACUUGGACCCAGAUCUCAGGCCUUAGGCCUAUGACUUCACCAUUUACCCUCACAUUUCAUCCAGGGCUGUCUUUUCUUUUUGCUUCCCUUUUCCCCUGGAUGGAAUACAGCCCUUAAAACUGUGAUGUAUUUUUAGAAUCAGAGACCCAAAGAAAAGGCACUUUGUUCAGGAACCAAAACUCCUCAGUCUGGACAUUUGUUAUAAGUCCUAGGUUUUGGCUCCUCUAUAACCAUCAGAAGAUUGAGGGAACUUGAGUAUGGGUAACUAUCUGUGAGGGUCACCACAAGACAUCUUACGGGAAAGGGGAGGAGACUUCAGGAACAGCUGCUUUCCCCUGAUUUUUCGAUGGGCUUGGGCCAGCUUUCUAGGCCAAGCAGGCCUCCUCCACUGGAGCUAGACAACUGCACUCUGAGAUAUACGGACAAAGAUUCAGGGGUCGGGACUGCCCAGGGUACAACUCAGGAAGUUCUUGGUAUAUCUGUGUUCAGAGUCGAUCUCUCAAAAGUCUUAAGAUGUGUGCCUCAAUCGUUACUUCGGACAGUGGUUUUCAACCUCUCUAAUGUUGUGACCCUUUAAUACCAUUCCUCAUGGGGUAGUAACCCCAACCAUUAAAAAUACUUUUGUCACUACUUCAUAACUGUCAUUUUGCUACUUUUUAAAAUCAUAAUGUAAAUAUCUGAUAUGUGACCCCUGUAAAAGCGUCAUUCCACCUCUAAAAAGGGUUUCAACCCUCAGGCUGAGAGCUGCUGACAUAGAAUGAAGAAUAAGAGAUUUGGGGAAGCUAACUGCUUUGCCUCAUGUUGCAAAAUUCAAGAAAGAUUGUUUUACAAUAAAUGAUCAAGUAUAGGGCCAUAAAAAGUCACAAAAACAUAUCUAAAAUGCUGAGGCAUCUGCCUCCAGACCUGGUGAAGAGCCCCCUGAGAACAUGUGACCUUCACAGUUCUUGUCCAAGAGGGAUGGAGACUCAGAAAGGAGGGUGUCCCUGUCUAUUUAUCUACCAGGUCAGAGGAAACUUGACAAGCUAUGGCCUUGUUGCCAAAUCUCCAAGGCUGGCUAGCGGUGGAUCAUGGGCCAACCUCAGGAACUUUAUAAUGCCAUUACACAGCUUAUGAUGCAUGUGUCCCAAAAGCUUUAACACUGCCACUUCAUUUAGUUCUUAUUAAGACUUACUAAACACAUACUAAAUUCCUAUCCUGGGGCAGAAGGGCCUGAAGUUCAGAGGUGCACAUGUUUAAAAACCUUUGUAAGUUACCAGCUACCCACAUGCGCUGCUUGAUGAGGAAAACUCAGGGCUUACCCGUGUAUUCUUUUGCACCAAAGCCACACACUUUCCUCCAUUUACCUUCUCCCCUCAGUGGGGCCCAAGCUGUCACAGGCUUGGCCUGCAGUCUAUCAGGGCUGACUAAUACACUUGAUGACUCGGUUAUAGCCGUGGUGCAUGAGAAAAAGGGGAAGCACUUGCUGGCAUGGCUGCUGUGACAAUCCUGACUUAACAGAUUCUGUCCUACAUCAAUGUAGGACAGAAUGCUCAGAGCCUACAGCAGUCAAGGUGCUUCCUCCAGAUGCCUGUGGGGCCUGAUGAGGUAUUUCCCCUACAUUUGACAUAAAGCAUCAGGUGGAUAAGGCAGGCAGGGUUUAAAGUUCUUCCCUGACCCAUCAACCUGCUUAUUUCAUCUGCUGGAACAUUGCUUAUUCGCACUCUUCAAAACAAGCUUAACUUUUCUUGUUCAAUUUAAGAUGCAACCAUGUUGUUAACCUUUUCCUCCAUGUCUCACUUAACAGAAAUGCACCGAACACUGGACUCUUGAGACUUAUUGGUUGAUUUUACCUCCAAGUUUGACCUCAAAAUCUUGUACUGUUUGCUGAAGCAGCUUGUACAAAGAAAUAAUGUUGUGUGAUAUUUUGAUAGAAUCCUGAUGCUCCAAAGACUGACAAUAAAAUCUGCUUUGAAUCAGAGGGCAGAGCUAGCUACUAGCUGACCAAAAUUAACCAUAGAGGUUUUGGAGGACUAAGGACAGGAAGAGAGACACAGGAAGUAGUAGGGCAAGGCUUAGAGAGGAUCUUGCCCUUCUGGGAUUAAGGAACAAGAGAGUGGAGGUCACCUGUUGCUUCUCUGCCACUUAUGAUUCGGGUUCUUACCCUGAUAUCUGACUCCUGAGUUUUUAUUGUUAAAAAAUAAUUAGAUAAACACUUCAAAAUAAACUGCUAAAUUCUCUGAUUUUGCCAGGUUGCCUGCUGAGCAUCCUUCAGCAUGGUGGUUAUGGGGAGAUUUUAUAGAUUGUGCUCAAGCUUGCUUUCUGUAAGGAGCCAUCCCUGCAUUCUCCAUUACAAGAUGGCGCCAGCAUCCGGCAGACACCGAAUGGUAAACAAGUUAGUGCGCAGGCGCUGGGUAACUUUCCAUCCCUUGGUCUCUGCCUCUCCCGUGGCGUCAUGUGGUCCGAUGAGCUGCAGCCAGUCAGGGGGUGACAUGUCCUAGGCGGCGGCUGCCAGCCUAUAUAAGGGAUGGGUUUUUGGGUGUUUGGGGUCUCUGCUCUGUAAGCUUAUGCUCUCCCUCUCAAGAUGCAUUAAAGCUUUACUGCAGAAGGAUCCUGAGUGUGCUGCGUCGUUCUUGCUGGCGAGACGGUAGCGCGGAACAACUGGUGCCGAAACCCGGGAAUCGAGACCUCAUCAUCGUCAGCACCAUCGGAGACCCCUUGGCUACAAGGAGGAUUCAGAACUGCAGGCAGGUACGAUUCGGAGAGGUAUGUCUUUUCUGGACUUUGGCUUGGGAUUGUCACCACCUUGGGAAGGUAGUGUCGAGGCUUUUGUGCUUGUCCUCGAAGCCAUCUUGAUCUUUUUCGCUGUUGUAGCACCCUUGAAGAGGUCCAGGAUAGCAUGUCAGAAACCGAGCGUAGUGAGAGGUUGGGCGCGCGCGCAAGAAAAAAACCGUCUACAAGAAGGAAAAAGUCCCCCCCCCCCACCCCC
rnacentral:lncRNA from 1 species